rnacentral:tRNA from 1 species
GGCUUGUUUGUCUAGUGGUACUAUUCCUGUUUCAGGUACAGGAGGUCCCGGGUUCGAACCCCGGACAAGUCC